UUUAAAAAGAAAACGGAGUGAGUAAAAUUGUGAGUGAUAAACAUGGAAUCACAUAUCAUCAUCUGUAAGGCUUAAUUUGCACUAAUCUAAAAUCAUAGACAUGUAGAACAAAUAGAAAAAUAAUCGAUAAAAGUGAAUAAUUAUUAUUAUUAUUAUAAAAAAUAGCCACAAAAUAACAUGGUCACACUUAAUUACCUUGGUACCAAUAAAAACAUUUAAGCCAUAUAAUUUUAUCAAACUAUCCAAAAACCAGUAAGUCUGUUCCUUGUGGUAUUUUAUCGAUUAUCAUGGCUAGCCUCCAAGCAAAAUAUCAAUCUCCUCAGGCAACCAUUGCACCUCACUGGCCUGCUCCAAACCACUACCUCGCAUGCGGAUGUCAUCAUCCUGCAUCAGAGAUCUGAAGCUGAUUAUGGCUUAUCUUCAGCCAAGGCUACAGUAGAUCAUAGCAGAUCAAACAGAUCUAGGCUUCUGCUACAGACAUCAAACAGUAGCCGCAUUAUAAGGCUAGGGAGCUCGCCUGGGGUAGGUAGACGAGAAAGCUAGAUCCAAAUUUCUCAGUGGGAGAACUCGAUCGACCCACCGUGCCACCACAGCCACCGGGUUAUAGCAAAAUUACCUCUGGUUAAUCACAUCGCCGGUAGCAUGUAUCAGCCACUAGCCAAGGCCCUAGCAGUGGAGACCGGCACGUCUCUCCUUGCAGAUCUGAGUCACCCACCGGUACCUUCAGAUCUGUCGCGGUCAACGCCAUAGAGGGAUGCGCCUCCGGUAGAUCUGCGACAAUUAUAUUGCCGUCCUGGAGUCUAUAGAGAACAGUCACCGGCGCAGGGCGGCGACGGACCGCCCCUCCCAUCAGUCAGAUCAACUCACCAGUUUGUCAUCAGGCCUCGACAGAGGCCGGCCAUGGAAGUCAGCUACCAUCGCACCGUCUCUGCAUCGGGAAAUUCGGAAGGAUGACCGGGCCUCCGCGCCUCCAACUCCUCCAUUCACAGGAGGCGCAGAAACCGGGAAAACUUGCCCCGAGCACCAGAAGCUCGCCCGAGCGCGUCAAACGCACCGCCGAAGGUACGGCGGCAGCGUCGCGUACGAGGGAAGGAAGGGGCCUGCGGCGGCGGCCAGGUGGUGAUGCGGCGUCGGACAGGGCAUGAGGCAGGCGGCGUAUAGGGUUUGAGAGGCGUGCAGAGGAACGAGAGAGAUGGGGAUUCCGGCUCUGUUCGAUGCCAA
rnacentral:lncRNA from 1 species